CUAAAUCCCCUAAUCCAUUCAUUCCCUCGCUUCUGGCUUCUGCGCGUCUGCUUCUCCGCGUCUGCUUCUCCAUUCCACCAUUCCACCAUUCCACCGCUUACAGACGACGUACGACGGUUCUCCGGUCUCUACGACUCUGCCCCUCAUUGCCUCACGCUCACAGCUCACUGCCCCUCAGUCCCUCGACACUUCUCCCUCGUCUACGGUCUCUCUGCCCAAGGCUUAUGUUUGCUGGCUUGCUGCAACAGAAUUACAGCGACAGUUUCUGUAGAAUCAUAUGCGUCUUGCCCGUGGAUGAGUGAAUGGAGAAGAAGACAAUGAUGCAAUCAAACCCUAGCUCUAAGAGUAGCAUGAGAUGUUCCCAUUGCGCUGGUCCUCUUUCCAAUGAAAUGGAGACUAGCGAGUGGACAGUUCCACCUUUGAUCAGAGACAGCUUUUCUAUGAUUGGUACUGCUGUUGGCGGCACAACAAGUGCAUUUUAUGGCUUCAACCAUGUGAUGCCUAUUGUUCGAAGAUGGAUUAAAGGCCCAAUGUGGUUACAUUUCCUUGUUGGGGCUCCACCUGUUAUUGUUUUCUCAUCGGCAUGUGCAGGAUUGGCAGGUGGUGCUGUUCCAGCACUUGCACAACUUGCAUCAUCUUCAUACCAUGCUGCCAUCUCAUCUUCCACGUUACAGCCUCCAUCCUCGCAGGACGAGAAGAUUAACAAGUCCCGACCAUCCUCCACUCUAAAACAUUGACUGUGAGUGAUAGGCAAAGGACUUUUUGGCACAUCAGUCUCCUGAGAAUCUUGCCCACUAUCAAUGCAGUCAGCUAUAGGGUUUCCAUUGCAUCAGAUGACCUCUGCCCCAUUUAGGUGGUGUACCGAGCUCGCAGGACACUUUAUAUUGGUACCUAAUUUUGUUUUAGGUUGGGUAAGCAAUGGCUGGAUGGAGGGUGCACUGCAUUGAUUAAUGCUUCAUUUGCACGCUUUGAAUAUAAUGAUGCAAAUGCUUGUGUUUGUUAAUGAUAUCUUUUACUUUCUUUGGAAUAUAGUGAGCGACGAAGAAACAAGGUUCUUCAUUCCCCUUGGUAUAGAACCUCUUCCGAAUCUCAUUUUUUUUUAAAUACAAAAUUCUUUAGUUCUUGUGUA